GAUACCCCCCUUCCUGCCUGCAGGUCCGUUGCUGUGUCCUUCUUUGACUGGAAAAGGGGAAAAUGCACCGAUUCAGACUUUGAACUGCGCGUUGGCAGAGGAGGGAGCAGAGCCAUUGCCCUGCUAAACGGGCAUAAUCAUCCUGUGGGUGUCUAAUUACCACCGAGUUCCAGAGCUGUGUGGGUUGCGUUAUCCACCUUCCCGGGACGCCUAGGAGGGACAGAAACGUCAUGUUCCAGGACGUAAAGCAGCCCCGGGUGACUCAGACCAGGAGGAACCCUUCAGACAGGCAGAACCUCGGUGAGCCUCCGCGGCAGCGGAUCCAGCGCCCUCCUUUGAGGUGUUCGGAUUGGGCAGUGUCAAGGCUGGGUUAGACAGAGCACAGGCUUGAGCCAGAAUCGUCCACCCAUCCGCCCCUCCUCGCCGUCCUUACGGCAACAGCAGGCUGAGAAUAAUAAUCCCCAAUUAAGCCUGUUGUUAAAUAUGACUCUGAACAGCCCCAAAGGGAGUAAAUUAACACACAGCAGUCUAUUUCUGGGUGUAAUCCAAGCCUUGGAAACCUGAGAAGAAAAGAUUUAGAACGUGAUAGAGAUUGGGCCAAAGUUCAUUUUCCACUUCUUAACUUCCAGCUCCAACCUCCUCCUUGGUUUGGUUUCCACUUGAUUAUCCUCAGUGCCUCCGGGGGUAGAGAGCACAACGAACCUUCACUGGCAGGCAGCACAAUUUAUACUCAGCAGUGUCGUGAAGAUUACUCCUGGAGUCUGGGGCACAGCAGGACCUGCACCGACGUGCGGGAGCUGGGGAGCGAAUCCAGGGGCUUGGUGGUGUUGUGAGGCAAGCGGUGCCUGCAAGCCCACUGUAAUCCUGCUCCAGAAAACGUGUUUGCAACAGAGCCUGAGGCUCUGCUCCAAGCCUGCUCCCGUCUUCCUACUCAUGGUGGUUCUCCUCUCCUAAUCCCUUUUUAAUAUGCGGUGUUACAUAUUUUGCAACCCCAUUGUUCGGGCAUGACUCUAACACGGCCUCUGCUUGCCAGCUGUCGGGGCUGGGCUGCCAGGGGAUGCUGCCGAGCAUCCUCAGCACCCCUGGGCCUCCCACAAAACUGAUUUUCCCAAGUAUAAAGAUCAGGAAGAUGAGACGUGCCCUGGUUUUGCAGGCUCGCAGCCCACACCCCAGAUAUCAUCCACUAUUGGGAGAGAAUUUUUUCAUAAGUUUGUUAAUAAUUCUAUUUCCUGAUCGCCUUGAAAUGAAAGGUGGCACGGUCUGGCACUGAAUGGCCGUGGGAAGGAAAAAGAAUGGUGAAAGGAGCACUGGACCAGUGCACGUCUUAAAAAAUGAUGCGAAAGGAGUUGCUCAGCAGGCAGGUCGCAUCCAGGCUGCGGGGCCGGUGCUGGUGCUGGAGCAGAAUGGGUGCAGGUGUGGGUGUGGAGGCACGGGGUGCGGGUGCCCCCUGCGGGACACCAGGUGCCUCUGGCAGCCCGUGGCACCGGCCCAAGCCGCAGGGAGCAGCUCGCAGCAGGGGUGCGGGACCUCCUGGGUGGGUUUGGGUUUCAUCCUGGCGUGGGAAGCCCCCUGCGGAACCUGUGCUGGCAGCGGUGCAGCACGGAGCUGUAUCCUGGCCACACUAUGCUCAUCUUUCAGAAGUUUGGGUAGGCUUACGGAACCUCAGGCAUCGAGGUUUACAUUAUUUAAACAAUUCAUUUAAGCUGUUGUUUCAGGAUCUUCUGAGCUCUCCCUCCUUGAAGUGAGCGUGAGGAGCAGAACUGUGUCCAGGAGGGCAAGUCUAACCUUUAGGGAAGAACAUCGAGGCACUUGCCAGCAUUUCGGGCGCUGUGACGAAAACAUCCGGAGACUGCAGGAACUCUGAGGACUGUGCAGGGACAUCGUGGCACCUCUGCAGCACAGUGCCCGCUGCUGUUCCCAGCCCUCAGCAUGGGCCUGCCUCUUCCCGAACUGCUCUGGGUCACGUUUGGCGCUGCUGGCACGCCUCGUCGCAGGUCUUGAUUUAGAAAACUAAAGAUAGCACCCGAGUGUGGCCGUUGCUAUCCUAACCUGAGAAAUACAGUCCCAAAUAAAAGCAAACGUGAAAAGAGCUUGGUGUUACAUUAGCAAUGUAGGUCCCUGCGGGAGAUAAAGGUGAGUUGUCUGUGCUGAAUUCCACUUCGGUGUUGCUCCCUGUAGCUUCCCAUCUAGGGAGUCCUGCCUAACAGCCUUCAGCUUUCACACCUAGCAGCGCUCAGGCAGAUUAAUAGUAUUGAUCCUUAAUUUGCAUCAUCCACUCAUGAAAUUCCAUUUUCAACUUGAUUAAAGCAAUUUGCAAGGCAGUCUCCUGCCUCAGCAGGCUUGUAGCAGAGAUUGUCUGCUAGGUCCCCAUGACUUUGUUGUUUUUCCGGACAGAAAACAUGCCUCUGCCACCACUGGGCAGGACUUCAAGGGUUUUUUCUUCCUCUGCAAAAAGAAAAUGACUGGGGAUGCUGCUAAGUUGGGUGCCUGUUUCUUGCCUGAUUUAGAUGCUCCCUGAUGGCCAGUACAGGAAAUUCCCUGGAACCAUCAUCACCAGUGGGAUUUCUCGGAAGUGCUCUGCUGGAAAUCCGAGUGCUGAUUUGAUCCUGUGAAGACCUGCCAAACAACACGAGCAGUUUGAACUUCCCUGCUGUGGAGCCAUCCCUUGUUCCCUCGGCGAGGAAUCCGCAAAGCCCCAGCUGCUCCCUCUUUCUGGUUCACGGGGAGCCACUCGCUGCCAAUCUUCAGGAGGAAACCGCACUCCUCGGGGGCUGAAACCACCACAGAGGGUGUUGUAAGGCAAAAGCCACAGCCCCCACGUAACCAGCCUUGCGGUGUGCCAGGGCUGCAGCUCUCUGUACGCAGGGGCACGGAGCGGAGCCGACGAGGAGCAGGAGUCCCGCAGGGGAUCCCUGGAUGCAGUGAGAUCAAAGGUUCAACAGCUGAUGGUUACCCUGAAGACUUCAGCCUGAUGUGCUAGGCUCAGAGCUUGUAUCCCCGACAGGAAAUGCCGGAGUUGGGAAGCAGAUGUGUGCAGAAGAUAAUGCCGAAAAGUUAAACAGGAAUUGAGGAGACCCGCUGCCGGACACGGCUGCUGCCAGUGCUUGGUGGGCCGCCACACGCUUUUUGCAGAGUAAGUUAUUCUGCUCGUUAUUCCUUGUCAUUUUGCCUCCCUGGAAAAAGGAAGUAGCGAAGAUCUGAAUGGAGGAA